CCUACGGGAGGCAGCAGUGAGGAAUAUUGGUCAAUGGACGAGAGUCUGAACCAGCCAAGUAGCGUGAAGGAUGACUGCCCUAUGGGUUGUAAACUUCUUUUAUAUGGGAAUAAAAUGUUCCACGUGUGGGAUUUUGUAUGUACCAUACGAAUAAGGAUCGGCUAACUCCGUGCCAGCAGCCGCGGUAAUACGGAGGAUUCGAGCGUUAUCCGGAUUGAUUGGGAUUAAAGGGAGCGUAGGUGGAUUGUUAAGUCAGUUGUGAAAGUUUGCGGCUCAACCGUAGAAUUGCAGUUGAGACUGGCAGUCUUGAGUACAGUAGAGGUGGGCGGAAUGCGUGGUGUAGCGGUGAAAUGCUUAGAUAUCACGAAGAACUCCGAUUGCGAAGGCAGCUCACUGGACUGCAACUGACACUGAGGCUCGAAAGUGUGGGUAUCAAACAGGAUUAGAUACCCGAGUAGUC
rnacentral:rRNA from 1 species